CCUGGCGGCACUAGCGCGGUGGUCCCACCUGACCCCAUGCCGAACUCAGAAGUGAAACGCCGUAGCGCCGAUGGUAGUGUGGGGUCUCCCCAUGC
rnacentral:rRNA from 6 species